UUCGAAACCGGUAGAGGUGCUUGCUCCACUCUCUGAUUGAACUGGAAUAAUGAUGCGGCUGUAGUUUCGUGUUGCAACGAAAUUGAAAAUGGUUAUUCAUUUUUGAUUUAAAUUUAGGUCCUUGGCAACCUUCAAAAUAAUAUUUGGCAACAUUUAGCGCGCCUAUGAGUUUUAUUUUUACUACAUAUAUGACAUUUGACAAGUCCAAACACAAACCACAAAGCGUGAAAAAAAGCCUGGAAAAGCCACGAUAUAAAGACACAGAAAAGCCUUAUAAGAAGCCCUAUUCCAUCCAGGUAUUCCAGAAUUCUUUUGGCUUCUUUUUAACUAUUAAUAUAUUUCCUAAAUAUUAUACCAAUCAAAUGGAAGUAAAUCAAGAAGUUAUGGAGAAUACAUGUAAAUUAGAAAUAGAUAAUAAUGAAGUGGAUGAUAAUGAUGCUCUUCUGCUUACCUUUAAAACUGAAAUUAAAGAGGAACCGGAGAUAGAUACUACUAAUUCUGAUGAUUUCAACUGUAAUAAGAAACAUCCUGUAAAGACAGAAAUAGAAAGCCAUGAAGAUGCAGUUUGUCUCCUUCAAGUAAAAGAAGCACAUGAAAGUUUCAAAUGUGAAGACACACUAACUGACGAAAAUAACGAAUUAAAAAAUCAUCUUAUAAAUAACCAAUUGAACCAAUGUACAACUGACGUUAGGAAAGUGAAGAUUGUUGAAAAGCCUUUUGCGUCUGAAAAGAAAAGUUUUAGAACACAUUUGAUAGAUCACACUGGAGAAAAAUUAUUUGGAUGUGAAAUAUGCACAAAACAGUUUUCAAAAACUUAUUUAAAAGUUCAUAUGAUUAGAAGACACAACACUGGUAAAAAACCAUUUGGAUGUGAAAUAUGCAGAAAACAGUUUGUAACACAUAAUGAGUUAAAAUUGCAUAUGAGAAUUCACACUGGUGAAAAACCAUUUGGAUGUGAAAUAUGCACAAAACAGUUUUCAAGAAGUAACUACCUAAAAUCUCAUAUGUUGAGAAGGCACACUGAUGAAAAACCAUUUGGAUGUGAAAUAUGCACAAAACAGUUUGUACUACAUAAUGAGCUAAAAAGGCACAUUGCGGUGCAUACUGGUGAAAAACCAGUGUCGUGUGAAAUUUGCACUAAACAUUUUUUACAAAGUUCCGAUUUAAAAAGACAUUUGAGAAUUCACACUGGUGAAAAACCAUUUUCGUGUGAAAUUUGCACCAAACAGUUUUCACGAAGUUGGGUUUUAAAAAAACAUUUGAGCAUUCACAGUGGGGAAAAACCAUUUGGAUGUGAAAUAUGCACAAAACCUUUUUCAAGAAGAAACUACCUUAAAGAGCAUAUGUUAAGAAGGCACACUGAUGAAAAACCGUUUGGAUGUGAAAUAUGCACAAAACAGUUUGUUACACAUAAUGAGUUAAAAUUGCAUAUGACGGUGCAUACUGGUGAAAAACCAUUUAGAUGUGAAAUAUGCACAAAACAGUUUUCAAAAAGUAGGUUCUUAAAAGUUCAUAUAAUGAGAAAGCACAACACUGGUCAGAAACCGUUGGGAUGUAAAAUGUGUGCAAAACAGUUUGUAACACAUAUUGAGUUAAAAAGGCACAUGGCGGUGCAUACUCGUGAAAAAUCAUCUUCAUGUGAAAUAUGCACAAAACAGUUUUCAAGAAGUGACAACCUAAAAGUUCAUAUGAUGAGAAGGCACACUGAUGAAAAGCCAUUUGGAUGUGAAAUAUGCACAAAACACUUUGUGACACAUAAUGAGUUAAAAUUGCAUAUGAUGGUGCAUACUGGUGAAAAACCAUUUAGAUGUGAAAUAUGCACAAAACAGUUUUCACAAAGUAUUUCCUUAAAAGGUCAUAUAAUGAGAAAUCACAACACUGGUCAAAAACAAUUUGGAUGUGAAAUAUGCACCAAACAGUUUGUUACACAUAAUGAGUUAAAAUUGCAUAUGACGGUGCAUACCGGUGAAAAAUUUUGAUGUGAAAUAUGCACAAAAGGGUUUGCAAGAAGUGGUUCCUUAAAAAGACAUAUUACUCUGGGCUAAUUAGCAAAAUUCAUGGAAAAGUUAUUUACCAGCAAUUUUAUUGCUGGAAUCGAACUAUAAGAUCCUAUAUAUUAAUAAUAUAGGUAUGCAAAGUCCGCAGAUAGUGUGCUACUUUUUUUAUAAACAAGAUGGCGCCGACAAAUCGUAUUUUUUUCAAUUAUUGCUCUAUAACUCCGAAGAUUUUAACUUUACAACAAAAACACCCAAAUAAAAAUUCACCGUAAUUAAAUUCUGCAUAGAGAUAUGUUUCUCACGAUUUGCUCCGACGAAAAUUUUCCUCGGAAAAUGCGGGUUUUCCUAACAAAAACUAUAAUUUUCAAAUAAAGUUUUAGGUUACAAAUGUGAAGAUAGACUAACUGAUGAAAGCAACGAAUUAAAAAAUCAUCUUAUAAAUAACCAAUUGACCCAAUGUACAACUGACGUUAGAAGUUUGAUAGUUUACACCGGAGAUAAAUUAUUUGGAUGUGAAAUAUGC
rnacentral:misc_RNA from 1 species